GAGGCAGCUGCAAAGGCCAGAGAGAGGAGAAACCCCUGCCCCCGCCCCCACCCCCAUCCCCGGUCGGCCUCGAGCCAACUUCCAACCGACUCUAGAUCGGCCAGGCCUCUACGAGGCUGGAUCGUUGGGGUUCCGUUCCCCGACCCGACCAGCGGGCCUCACCUGGGCGUUGGCCUCUUACAUCGCUCCCUCGCCCCGCGGCAGCCUUUCCCUCGCCCUCCUCCACCUCAGCCGUCGGCGAAUGGCCCCAGUUUGGCCCCGCUGCCCCCCUUCAACAGCCCCAGCAGCAGCCGCUGCAGCUGCCGCCGCCUCAGACCCGAGACUACCCGGAAGUUCUUUCAGAUACUUCCGGCAGGAGAGAACGAGGGAGGCCGGGAAGCAGACAGAAGGGGUGGGUGGGGUGAAGUGGGGGCGGAGUCGGGGGCGGGACUAGCAGAGAUUUAUCGGAGAGAAGGCGGACCAGACGCGCUAGUUCGCACGUCCACCGAAACUCAUGCUCACGCCACACCUCCCACCUUACACGAACACAGCGGGGAAGGGCGGGGAGAGGUAGAGCGGAGCUGGGCAGAGAAGACCCUUGUGGGGCCAGAAGUAGACUGGAAAGCGCACGUGCACGCACGCUCUGGGGUUCGUCGGGAGCGCGCCUGGAUCUACCAGAUCGGAGAAAAGCUCGUUCUCGCAAGAUCUCGGAGUCUAGGUCAAGGAGAGGGCGGGGCUGCCUGUCGUACCCCACUUGCAGACUGGUCACCUUCUACCGAGUGUGGGGCGGAGUUCAUGGGUACAGGGGGCGGGACCGGGGCGGGACCGGGGCGGGCUGAGGGUUGGGGAGGCGGGGCCAGUGCGAGCAUGGGUGGGUGGAGGAGUGAAACAAACACCGGCCCCUACACUAACUACGUACGGCGCACGCUCACACACACCCUGUACGUUCACAACUCUUCUCUCCCUCUUAACCCUAUGCCGCUGAUCCCACAUACCUGUAUACAUGACUUUCCCACCCUGACCCUGUUCACCAAAUUACACGCACACCCUAUAUGUACACAAUUCUUCCUCCUUACUCCUACCAUUACCUUACCAUGA
rnacentral:lncRNA from 1 species